rnacentral:lncRNA from 14 species
UUCUGUUUUGUUUUCUUUUACAUUGUUUAUCAUACACAUUUUUCAUUGUAAUUUUCUGUAAAUACAUAUGGACAAAUUUGACAUAUUAGACACUAGUACAAGCCUGGAAUAGAAGUUAAUGGGCAAAAAUGCAUUUAAAUACAAAGUAGUGCAGUUCAUCAGCAUUUUACAUGGUUAAUAUACAUUAUGAACAAGGAAUUGUGGUCAGGUCAGAAAAUGGAUUUGGCACCUAGAAUGCUACCAUUCACCCAGAUCUCUUUGGAACAUAAAUAGCACCUCUAGCUAAUAAAUGAUUGUCAAAAUAAAGAAACAAAAAAAAUCUAGCCAAUAUGUUCAAGUAAAAACCAUACAAUAUUGCAAUAUACAAAAAGGAAGAAAAAAAAUUGUUAGUGAACAACAAUGGCUAAUGUAUGUUUAAUUGUUGCAUAGCAAUACCAAGUUCUGCUGGUAGACUGAACUUCCCAAGUAGGCUAUAAAUGGAAAACACACCUAUGUCACACUUCAGGAAGGUUAUUUAUGUAAGUAAGCGCUUUAUGUACCACUUCGGAAAAAUUAUCUCAAUAAUUUUAUUGUAGAAUUUUAAAGAGUCAGAGGUGAAUGCAGAUUUUUUAUGGGUUUGCCUACUUGAAGACAAAUAUUUAUUAAAAAAAAAGAAAGAAAAUCUAAAAUCUAGAAAAGGUAUGAAAAAAAUGUCAAUGUUUUUAGAGCCUGGUGAUCUGGACACUUUCACAUAAUAAUUUAAUACCGAUAUUGUUUACAACACCUUAAGUAUUCUCAUUUUCUGUCCUUUUUUACCACACUAUCAUGUCUAUCAGUACUUCAUAUGAUCUUGUCAUACAUACUACAAGAGAUGAAAAUUCAGUCUAUGCGUUGCAGUCUGUUCAGAGAUCAUCUAGUUAAUACUUCCACAGCAAAAAAAUCCAACCAGCCCCUUCACCAACAAUCUAGGUUUUACAGUGUAACAAUGAUGAACAUUCUCAGUGAUCUUAGGCCACUUUGAACUGAAUUAUGGUUGAAAUACCAGUGCUAUGUAAUAUUGCCAUUUUCUGAAUGAAUUUCUACUAUAAAUUAAACCAGCAUAAACUGAAAAAUAAUAGCAUAUAUACUUACAGAAAACCUUUGACUUUUUCUGUGAUUUGCUGAAGCCUUCUAUUUGCUUACAAAUAUAUUUCAUUUAUCAGGCACAGUAUGCAACUUGACUCUAAAAUAUUAUAUAUAUUUUAUAUAUACAUUAAUAUAUAUAAUAUAUAUAAAUUAAAGCUUUAUAUAUAAGGGAAUACAUAUAUAUAUAUACACGUAUAUGCAUAUGU